GAAAGAACAGAGAAGGAAUAGAACAACUUUGAGCGGUGGAUCACUCGGC
rnacentral:rRNA from 1 species